rnacentral:piRNA from 1 species
CAGGAGACAGAAGACACACUACAGAAUCUGGA